rnacentral:lncRNA from 1 species
UAAACGUGCCACUGAAAUAAAAUAUGACUAACAGACACCUAUUGCUCACCAGAUCCCUUAAUGAAGUGAGAGAAAAUGGCAAUAAAGAAGCAAUUACAAUGUGAAACCACAAAGAGUAAUAAGAACACUGUUGGAGCCCCCCGCCCCCAUCUGGCUCCAUGCCCUUCCUUCUGCUCACCUCAUGAUGAUUUUCACCAGUUCAGCCUACUUGAGGAUUUCCACUGACUUCCUGGAGCACCAGUCUUGUCUGCUCCCUGCCAUCCACAUCUCCCCACGAGCUCCAGCCACACUGGACUCUACACUGCUACCUCAGCAUGCUGCCUAGGUCCGCUGUCUUUUGAAUUUGCUAACAGCCUUUUCUGUUUCCUGCAUGUUUGAUUCUGUCUGUCCUUCUUCCAGUGAAUGGGAGGCCUGUGAAGGCGGGCACCAGCUCACCUUUGCUCAGUGAGAUGUACUUAAAUCACCCUUAGCUCUCAGCCAGGCACACAGUCUCCACAAGCAUGUGCUAAAUGGAUGAAUGAGUGAACA